AACGCGAAGAACCUUACCUGGGCUCGAAAUGCUGUGGACCAGCUUAUGAAAGUAGGCCUUCCCGCAAGGGACCGCAGUAUAGGUGCUGCAUGGCUGUCGUCAGCUCGUGUCGUGAGAUGUUGGGUUAAGUCCCGCAACGAGCGCAACCCUUAUUACCAGUUGCUACCAUUUAGUUGAGCACUCUGGUGAGACUGCCUCGGAUAACGGGGAGGAAGGCGGGGAUGACGUCAAGUCCUCAUGGCCUUUAUGUCCAGGGCUACACACGUGCUACAAUGGUCGGUACAAACCGUCGCAAACCCGCGAGGGGGAGCUAAUCGGAAAAAGCCGGCCUCAGUUCGGAUUGGAGUCUGCAACUCGACUCCAUGAAGCUGGAAUCGCUAGUAAUCGCAGAUCAGAAUGCUGCGGUGAAUACGUUCCCGGGCCUUGUACACACCGCGCAUA
rnacentral:rRNA from 1 species